UUGCUUCAGCAGCACAUGUACUAAAACUGGAACGAUAAAGAGAAGACUGGCAUGGUCCCUGAGAAAGGAUGGCAGGCAAAUUUGUGAAGCAUUCUAUACUCUC